CCUCCCACCCCCCCCCCCCUCCUCCGAAACCCUAGCCAUGGCGUGGCGCGGCCACGCCACCCGGACCGUCCUCGCGGCCGCGCGCCGCCCGGCCCCCGCGCCAGCCGCCGCGGCCGCGCGCCUCCGCGCCCCGCCCCCGUUCGCGGCCCCGCGCCGCCGCGUCCCGUCCGCCUUCACCACCUCCUCCGCGCCGCUCCCGUCCGCGCGGUCUCUGGCGUCGUUGAUGGGGUCCCCGGUGACGGCGGCGGCGGUGAUGGUGCGCCUCACGGCGCACCCGGGGGCCAGCGCGCGGGCCUGCUGCGAGCUCUCGCAGGGGAGUGGGAAAGAUGGUUGAUGCUGGAGGCUGCACAACUUGAUGGGGACCUUGCGUCCUAGAAUGAUGAGCUGGAAAAGAUGGGUGAUGCAAGAGAGGCCAUUGUAGAGCCUGCCAAAGGUGCUGAUUUGAAGCAUGUACUCCUUUGGUACUUGAAGCUGUUGUGUAGAUUCCAUCCUUUUGAAAGGAUAAAAGAGAUAUCUUUUGGAAAGCUAUUCUGGCAUUUCAUCCACUGCAAAGUUAGAUGACUUUACCCAGCAAUAGUCAGUUUCCUCCUUAGGUUUCUAGAUUAGACUGAAAUAAAUUUUAUGCUACAUGGCAUGUCCGUGGACUUGUAUUUUCUUUCUACGGUUUGUGAUACCAUACCAUACAUCUGCUGAGAUUCUUUGGUGUCAAAUUUCAGUUGACCUGUUAAAUUAUAGUGUUACUACCAUGGUACUGCCUUUGUACCUUUGCAUA